rnacentral:rRNA from 1 species
GAACGCUGGCGGCAGGCUUAACACAUGCAAGUCGAACGGUAGCACAUAGGAGUUUGCUCCUUGGGUGACGAGUGGCGGACGGGUGAGUAAUGCUUGGGAAUCUGGCUUAUGGAGGGGGAUAACUACUGGAAACGGUAGCUAAUACCGCGUAAUGUCUUAGGACUAAAGGGUGGGACCAUUUGGCCACCUGCCAUAAGAUGAGCCCAAGUGGGAUUAGGUAGUUGGUGAGGUAAAGGCUCACCAAGCCCGCGAUCUCUAGCUGGUCUGAGAGGAUGACCAGCCACACUGGAACUGAGACACGGUCCAGACUCCUACGGGAGGCAGCAGUGGGGAAUAUUGCACAAUGGGGGGAACCCUGAUGCAGCCAUGCCGCGUGAAUGAAGAAGGCCUUCGGGUUGUAAAGUUCUUUCGGUGACGAGGAAGGCGAUUGUUUUAAUAGAACAGUCGAUUGACGUUAAUCACAGAAGAAGCACCGGCUAACUCCGUGCCAGCAGCCGCGGUAAUACGGGGGGUGCGAGCGUUAAUCGGAAUAACUGGGCGUAAAGGGCACGCAGGCGGUUGUUUAAGUGAGGUGUGAAAGCCCCGGGCUUAACCUGGGAAUUGCAUUUCAGACUGAACAACUAGAGUACUUUAGGGAGGGGUAGAAUUCCACGUGUAGCGGUGAAAUGCGUAGAGAUGUGGAGGAAUACCGAAGGCGAAGGCAGCCCCUUGGAAAUGUACUGACGCUCAUGUGCGAAAGCGUGGGGAGCAAACAGGAUUAGAUACCCUGGUAGUCCACGCCGUAAACGCUGUCGAUUUGGGGAUUGGGGUUUAACUCUGGUGCCCGUAGCUAACGUGAUAAAUCGACCGCCUGGGGAGU